UACGAAGGGGGCGAGCGUUGUUCGGAAUUACUGGGCGUAAAGGGUGCGUAGGCGGUUCGUUAAGUCUGUUGUGAAAUCCCCGGGCUCAACCUGGGAAUGGCAAUGGAUACUGGCUAGCUAGAGUGUGUCAGAGGAUGGUGGAAUUCCCGGUGUAGCGGUGAAAUGCGUAGAGAUCGGGAGGAACAUCAGUGGCGAAGGCGGCCAUCUGGGACAACACUGACGCUGAAGCACGAAAGCGUGGGGAGCAAACAGG
rnacentral:rRNA from 1 species